rnacentral:tRNA from 1 species
AAGGAAGGAUAGGAAUCAAUAAGUGCUGCUAAUACUUAUGUCCCGAGGUUAAAAUCCUCGGCUUCUUUA